rnacentral:misc_RNA from 1 species
UUCGUUGCAUUCCUCCUCAGUCAUCGGCGCAAGCGCAUCAGCCUUGGCCGCCUUCGGGUUUCCUGUAUUGCGUACCUAYCGGAAGGAAUUCGGAYGUCCCAACGCUAGACGUUCUCCCAGCGCUGCCCCCCCAUUGGAGGGGCGCGGCGUGGGGUGAACCGYGAAGGCGAGUUCGUGCUYCGAGCCGCAGCCGUCCAGGCAACGCGUCCCGGCACACGAACCACCGCCUGAGCUCUCGGAUGCGGAAUGCCGCGAGGGCUGGAGGCGCCCGUCCUCCGUUUGCCCGAACUCGGCGUCGAACGCCGGCAUCGAACGACCGYCGUCGUCGCCUCGAGACGUCACGUCCCUCGGGUCCGUCGGCCUC